AUAUUAUGUCGUAAAUAAUGUUUACUUGUCCAUUAGUAUUAUAUAAAAGUGCCUGUUUCUCCCCACUCCAGCUAUCAUUGAUUAUUGGUAAAAAAUUUUAAUGUAUCCAAUUCUAAUAGGCAAAGAAAGGCUCUCUUACUUAGAUCUUAGGUGGGGGUCUAAGUUCAUAUUUUUGUUUUACAAAAAUUGAAUAGCCAGUGUUUUUGAGUUGAAUGAUCUAUCCAUUCCGUAUAGGAGAGUUUAAUUAUAUUGUGAUUUUGGGGGAGAUAAUUUUCACAAUUUACCCCCUCAAAAUGUAGAAAGUAGAAAAAGGGUAGAAAAAUCGCACCAAAUUUGAACAAUGUAGCAUGCUUUUAGAGUUAGGGAUAUUUUCUUCCGGAAGGAUUUCAAGUCUGGCAUAUUUGCAUUGAUUGUGGUUAUGGCGCAUUUAACUUUUCCAAACCAGCUUUUUUGUACCGCACAUAGGAAGACCUGAGGGUGAGUGUAAAUUAGGAUUGUUUGGCCAGUGAUGUGUGCAAAAAUUUCUUGUAGAACCAAGAAUUAUUUCUUUAGUAUUUUACACAUUUUACAAAACAGGUAGACAUGUCCAUUGAUCCCAGGUUGCUUAUGGUUUCUAGAGGCCCCCUCUCAAUGCAACAGUGCUGUGGGGCCCUAGGGGUCCAGUAGCCCCCUCCCACCAGGUCAUUCCGGUGAGGGAGGGAGCUGGGACCCCUGCACUGCGGCAAACAAGCACGCCUGCGCGGCCGCAGAGGCAGGGUGGCGCGCAUGCUCAGGCGGGGAUGUGUGCGAAGCCUGCCGCUGCUGCAGCAAGUCUGGCGCAGAGUGGAGCGGCCGCCGGAGAUGCCUGACGCAUCUGUCUGAGGAGCGGUCAGUGACGCGAUGGAGCGGGCAAGGUCAGCUGUGCCGGUGGCUUCUCUCAAGAGACAGCCUGGGGAGCGGCCACUUUUAUUCAUCAGAUAAUUCGUCGCAGUGACCGAGGCGAGGAGGCUAUGGCAGUGGACCAGGGGGAUGAGUCGGUGUGACAGUGGUGGGGGUUGUGUUGGUGGUCGCGGCGCGGGGAGAGUCCGGCCAUCAAAGGUGCAGCCACCCCAAGACCUGCUGUGCUGUUUCAGCAAGCCUCCAUUAAUGAUAGAGAUUUUAAAUUGGUUUUCUGACUCCCUGGAAAAUCGUACCUUUUCAUUUUUGUAGUUCCUCUCUUUGUUGUCUAAGGCAGGGUACUAGCUGGUUUGGAUUUAUUCACAGACCUUGCCUUAUCUUGAUUUCACUAUUCUAUCUGACCAGUGUGUCAUUGCCGAAAUGUUUUCCACAUUUAUAGUUACUCUGUAUCUUUAUGUUUCCCUUACCCUGUUCCUUUUCCUAAUAAACAUCUUUGUUUUACAAAAAAUUUUGUUUAUAAGGUGUCAAGGAUGCCAAGAUAACCUCCUUUGUUUAUCACCGCCCUCUGUUUAGCUAUUUUUUACGAAGAAUCAUUUAAGCAGGUUGUGAGUACUGCCCUCAAUGACUUGGACAAUGAAGGAUCAUUGGAGCCUGGGAGUUCAAGCUUGGGUAUUGAGACCCCGUCUCUACAUUUAAAAAAAGGUAAAUUCAGAAAGUUGAAAUAAUAGAAUAUUUUGGUUUGAUGGCUAUUUCCUCAGUUGACCUCAGACCUUUCAUAUUGAGCAACUGCCAAAUGGGUUCUGAUGGACUCUCAGGUCAGAUUACAAUAGAAAUAAAGAGGACUUUGAAAAUGGAAGGGUUUUGGCAUUAACAGUACAGAGAAAAGCAGUCUGGAGAGAGAGAACACCCUACAUCGUUGUGGUAUUGGUUGGCUUCUGCAGCAGUCUUAGACCAAAUCUUGGUUGUGCUAUUCGGGAUUAGGGGAUUUUUGGUGAAUUAUUCUAUGUGCUGGGCAUUACCUAGGUAAGGGUAGGAGUUGGUGAUUCAUGUUUGCUUGGUAUGUUUAUAAAAGAGGUGUUUUCACAAUUUGACAAAUAAUGUGCAUUUUAUACACAAGAUACCUCCAUGGUAUACUUACUUGUUCAUUUGGACACAGAACUAAUAUGAGAUAGGUGUCAUGGGAAAAUGGUGGAGAGAAGUGAUCUCUGAUGAAUAAGAA
rnacentral:lncRNA from 1 species